UAGGGAAUCUUCCACAAUGGACGCAAGUCUGAUGGAGCAACGCCGCGUGAGUGAAGAAGGGUUUCGGCUCGUAAAGCUCUGUUGUUAAAGAAGAACGUGGGUAAGAGUAACUGUUUACCCAGUGACGGUAUUUAACCAGAAAGCCACGGCUAACUACGUACGCG
rnacentral:rRNA from 1 species